rnacentral:rRNA from 1 species
CGUAGGGCGCGAGCGUUGUCCGGAAUUAUUGGGCGUAAAGGGCUUGUAGGUGGCUGGUUGCGUCUGUCGUGAAAGCUCAUGGCUUAACUGUGGGUUUGCGGUGGGUACGGGCUGGCUUGAGUGCAGUAGGGGAGGCUGGAAUUCCUGGUGUAGCGGUGGAAUGCGCAGAUAUCAGGAGGAAUACCGGUGGCGAAGGCGGGUCUCUGGGGCUGUUACUGACACUGAGGAGCGAAAGCAUGGGAGCGAACAGGAUU